GGUACCUGUUUUCUGAACUCGAUGCCUUCUGAUCUUGCAGGCUGCGAGUGCGCACGCGCGCGCGGCAGACGCUGGAACGUGGGUGCUGAGGCCCGGCCUUAAGACUCCGAUUAAACGCGGAAGAGCGUCUGAGUUGCAGGAUGGGACGAGAAGCAUCCGGCUGCUGCUGCCGUCGAUGCAGCGGUUCGGUGCAAGGCCAGCAUCCUUUGGAUAGCCCCGCGGAUUUCCAUUGCCCCUGCGGGUGAUUGCAGGUAAUUGCUCCUGCGAGGGGCGUGGGUUGUAUCUUGAACACAUGGCCCUUGGAGGAGCGUUGCUCUUGCCUUCUGGGGAUUUAUUCCUGGCAUCAUCUUGGGCAACCUAGAUGAAGCUAGUUCUCCCCCAACGUGUCUGUCAGAUGAUUUGAAUCCAUAAUGCUGACCCUCCGUGAGGUACUAUAAUAGCAUGUUAGAGUUCUGAUGACGGCUAGUUAUUGAAGAAGCCUUACUGGGCUCCAGCAUCCUCGAGCAACAGGUUGCUCUUUCUUCCUGCAGGUUUUCUGGACAAUGCUGUAUUUAUCUGUAAUAAGGUAAAGACUUGGGGAAAGACUUCAUUACUAGAGGGUUAUUUGGGGGGUUGGUUUCCAAGUCAUCAAAUGAGCGGUUUCUAUGAUGAUUAAAACUAGCUCACUAUGAUUUACACAAUGAAAACAAGUGAACACCUGAGAAACUGGUUAAGAACAUAGUUGGGGCAGUGCCAUGCUUGCCUAGGGAACUCACGUGAACAUUUUAUUUGCCCCUAGGCUCCACUGGUAGCGAUCUGCCUGUUUGCUCAAGGUGAGUAAUUUUUUUGG